rnacentral:snRNA from 1 species
GGUCGUACUCAUAACCGCAUCAGGUCU